GAUGAACGCUGGCGGCGUGCUUAACACAUGCAAGUCGAACGAUGAAGCCCAGCUUGCUGGGUGGAUUAGUGGCGAACGGGUGAGUAACACGUGAGUAACCUGCCCUUGACUCUGGGAUAAGCGCUGGAAACGGCGUCUAAUACCGGAUACGAGCUUCCACCGCAUGGUGAGUUGCUGGAAAGAAUUUCGGUCAAGGAUGGACUCGCGGCCUAUCAGGUAGUUGGUGAGGUAACGGCUCACCAAGCCGACGACGGGUAGCCGGCCUGAGAGGGUGACCGGCCACACUGGGACUGAGACACGGCCCAGACUCCUACGGGAGGCAGCAGUGGGGAAUAUUGCACAAUGGGCGCAAGCCUGAUGCAGCAACGCCGCGUGAGGGACGAAGGCCUCCGGGUCGUAAACCUCUUUUAGCAGGGAAGAAGCGAAAGUGACGGUACCUGCAGAAAAAGCACCGGCUAACUACGUG
rnacentral:rRNA from 1 species